GGCUCCUUGGUCCAGGGGUAUGAUUCUUGCUUCAGAUGUGAGUGGUUCUGGGUUCAACUCCCGGAAGAGCCC